UAUGCAUCAUCUAGAGUUUGAAACUUUUACAUUGACAUUAGCAAGCUACGUUUACCGAAACGAACCACCCUUCCAGCAGCAAGUCAAAGGGUGACGCGAGAUGUCGUGGAGGUGACGCACUUGGCCAGUGAGGAGCUCAAAGUCUACUCGUUGAGAAGGUUUUUACUCCAAUGUACUCGCUGAGAUUGAAGUAGGAGAGGAAGAAAAAAACGUCAUUGCAUUUUCAGGUUUA